rnacentral:misc_RNA from 1 species
GAUGAAGAACGCAGCGAAAUGCGAUAAGUAAUGUGAAUUGCAGAAUUCAGUGAAUCAUCGAAUCUUUGAACGCACAUUGCGCCUGCCAGUAUUCUGGCGGGCAUGCCUGUUCGAGCGUCAUUUCAACCCUCAAGCCCUGCUUGGUGUUGGGGAUCGGCGUUGCCUCCUCCGUCGUUCGCGGCGGGGUGAGGUCGCCGCCCCCGAAAUGAAUUGGCGGUCUCGUCGCAGCUUUCCUUUGCGUAGUAACAUACCACCUCGCAACCUGGAGCGCGGCGCGACCACUGCCGUAAAACGCCCAACUUUUUCAAGAGUUGACCUCGAAUCAGGUAGGAAUACCCGCUGAACUUAAGCAUAUCAAUAAGCGGAGGA